GAGCAAAAUAUCUGGUAGAGAAGAUGUUCGCAGAAAAAAAAAUAAUAACAAUAAAUAUCAUUGUGAAACCAAUAGGUACGUUCCUUGCUCCGCUCAGAAUCUAAAAAGGUCAUUAAGAGUACUAUUUGUUUUUUCUCUAAUCCACACACAACAUAGCAAAUUUAGCAGUGAAUUUAUCAUAUUAUCAAAUUUAAAGUGUUUGCACGUUGUUUCUUUUACGAUAUUUCAAUCUUUAUCCAAGUUAUGAAUAUGU